AUUGAACGCUGGCGGCAGGCCUAACACAUGCAAGUCGAGCGGAUGAAGGGAGCUUGCUCCUGGAUUCAGCGGCGGACGGGUGAGUAAUGCCUAGGAAUCUGCCUGGUAGUGGGGGAUAACGUCCGGAAACGGGCGCUAAUACCGCAUACGUCCUGAGGGAGAAAGUGGGGGAUCUUCGGACCUCACGCUAUCAGAUGAGCCUAGGUCGGAUUAGCUAGUUGGUGGGGUAAAGGCCUACCAAGGCGACGAUCCGUAACUGGUCUGAGAGGAUGAUCAGUCACACUGGAACUGAGACACGGUCCAGACUCCUACGGGAGGCAGCAGUGGGGAAUAUUGGACAAUGGGCGAAAGCCUGAUCCAGCCAUGCCGCGUGUGUGAAGAAGGUCUUCGGAUUGUAAAGCACUUUAAGUUGGGAAGAAGGGCAGUAAGUUAAUACCUUGCUGUUUUGACGUUACCAACAGAAUAAGCACCGGCUAACCUCGUG
rnacentral:rRNA from 1 species